CCGCGACCCCAGGUCAGGCGGGAUUACCCGCUGAGUUUA
rnacentral:rRNA from 1 species